rfam:Picea glauca, whole genome shotgun sequence.
ACAUGCCUACAACAUAUAUUUAAUGCAUCAGAUCCCAUUAGAACUUCGCAGUUAAGCGCACUUAGGCUAGAGUAGUACUGGGAUGGGUGAAUUAGAGUCCUAGUGUUCUACAUGCC